rnacentral:tRNA from 1 species
UCCUCGGUCGCUGAGACAGUAAAGAAUCUGCCUGUAAAGUAGAAGAUCUGGGUUCGAUCCCUGGGUCAGGAA